AACACCCAUAAAUCCGUGCUGCUCUUGUGGUUAACGUUACCUGCGAAAUGGAGAAUAAAUGGAUAGAGAUUUAUGAUUUUCUUUCUGUGGGAUCAUACCCAUCUGGAUUCGAGAAAGUACAAAAGCAAAAUCUAAGAAGAUAUGCCUCAAAAUUUACUCUAAAUGGUCCAAUUCGACCACUGCAACAGAUGGGCACAUUUUCAAUGUGCAAAUUUUGAUCUAAAGAAUCAGUUUGCUUUCAUUUGUACAAAGUGUUUGUGAAAGUUUUUUUUUUCUUUUUGGCUUCAAAUAAAUA